rnacentral:lncRNA from 1 species
GGAGGAGGAGCUGGCGCGGCGGCCACGGGCGCCCAGCGCGCCUUCUCGGCGCCUGGAGCCAGACGCGAGUAAUCCUGGGUGGCCCGCAGCGGAGCCGUGGCCGGGCUAGAGGAGCCGGCUGGACUGCGGGAGUGCCGGGCGGCUCGCGGUGUCCGCCUCGGGCUGCUCCCCUGCGCUGCGUUCUCGCGGCCCCGCGCCGGCGCUGCGCUCUGCGAUGCGAGCCGCUGCGUGUCCAGCCGGGGCUCUGGCGAGGAAACUCACUUCAAAAGCAGCUGCACCAAGGGGGAGAUUAAAGCCUUUGCCGCCUUCCAAUCAAAUGGGAGCCCGAGGUGAUUGGAGGGUCAAGGGGAUGUGACGCGUCCCGCGCCGCCGCCGCCGCCGCUGCCAGGACUCUCAGUGCCGGUUUUAAUGGGCAGCUCCCUCUUCGCCGCCCCCCUGUGUGUCCCCUCCCUCGAUUUCGCUGGGAGGACGAGAUGGACAUUUAUUCUACGUUUGCCAUCCGCCGCCUCCCUCUUUUUUCCUCCUCGUCGUUCUUCCUUUCCCCAGCUCGAAAAUAAACUGAAACCUUCUUUUGAAGGGGGGUGCGCGUGAGGAACAGACUGCGGGGGGUGUCCAGAAGGAGCACCGGUGGGAGUGUGGACACCGGCCGGACUGUCAACUCCAGGGGCGAAGGGAACCUGCACACCCAGUGUUUUUUCCUUCGCAGUAAUCGAGAUCCCGCGCGGCGCAGCGCAGCCACCAGGAAUCGACGGGAUUUCUCUGGCUGUCGUUUGCGCUGCAUUUAUCCGAAUACAUCCAGCUCGCAGGCAUCCUGCAAGAAACGGCUCCCGGCUCGCGUGUACGCCGACACCUCGGCCCAACGCAGGACUCGAGGUGGUUUCUAGUGCCCGGGUGGCUGCAAGUCUGCCCUCCGAGGGAGGCUGGACAAGCGGCGCCCCCAGGUCGAGCGGCCUCUCGCUGCCUGGCAGUGCCUGGCAGCCCCCACCUCUGCCAGUGCUUCGGAAACCCGCCUGGCCAGGUUCGCCCGCGGUGAAAAAUGAAAGCAAAUUCCCCAACAGAGGUAGCCGGAACUUUCCUCGACGAAGGCUCCCUCCUGCGCCUGUGUCUGGAGAACCCCCAGAGCGCUGCAAGUUAGCAAGAGAGAUUCGAUGGCGGCUCUGGAAGGCGCACGAAGGGUGGGGCGGGGGAGCAAAGAGGCCACUGGGUGACCCAGCCUGGUCCGGGGUGAAACGCUAGAGAAGGCGCCUCGCCUUCCUUAUUUCAAUGCAACUCCUCGGCCCCAGACGGUAAAAAUAGUUUCCAAGCUGCCGCGGACGCCCAGGAUGUGUUUGCAGAGAUCAAACUGGGGAGGAGGCAGCUUUGUAAAAGUUGCAGAAAGAUUAGCCGAGAAGCGUCCGCCCGGCGGGGCUCAAGAAAGCUUGGGGACAGCUCCAUGUUCCUUGGGGCGGAAUGGCCCAAGAAUUGGCCUGGGUAACCCCCUGCCCAGUUCUCUGUCCUCACUUCGAGCCAGUGCUUAAAUAACUUCCCGCCGCCUGCCCUGCAAACUUCCCGGCGCGGCGCCGUUGAGGCCAGGACACAGCAAAGGCUAGCAAAACCCCGCCGCGGCGCGCUCGGCCCCGGCCCUGAGAGGCUGCGCGGGUGGGAGGACCAGUGUGGUUUCUGCUCCCACUCGGCUGCCCAGACCCUCAAGACCGAUCCCCCAACUCCUGGGAGCGGGUGCUUCCCUCUGGGAGCCGAGAUCUUGCGGGGCCAGCGAGGGCGCAAAGUGCGCGCGCUGGCCCGCGCGGGGGCGGCCGCGCGUCUCUCCGCGGGGCCUGUCGCCAGGCCGGCCGCGGCGCGUGAGUGAUGAGGGCAGAGAAGGGCGCCCAUAAAUCGCGGGUGUCAGGGCGAAAAACUCUCUUUAUUGUCUGCGUGAUGGAUGGGCCCGGGGACGAGACACCAAAUACUUCGUAUCGCCUUUAAAUGGGAACACAUUUUCCGCGG